AAUCUCCUGGGAGCAACAAGAGCCUCUGAAGAAGCAAUAUUUGGAUGGGAAACUUAUGUCCUCCAAGCUGGCGAGUUGCAACACUGACACAGAUUUUUCUUGUCACUGCAAAACUCUCCCUGUUAAAGAUUUCCCUCACCUUCAUCAGGAUGGAGCUGCCAAGGGUAUUAAGUGAAUUUUUGCCAGGAGCAUCUGUGAAUUAUAGAAAGUCACUGGGUAUUGAUAUCCCACCACGGACAGCUCCGGGCCGCUCAGUGCUGCUGUUCCGUCUCUUGGGUCAACUUGGGUUGUCACCGUCCCCAAAGGAAAGGAAAUAA
rnacentral:lncRNA from 1 species